UGCCAUGAAAUUUAAAAUCAACUUAUUUUCCCCUUAAAAUGAUACAUUUUCUCAGUUUAAACAUUUGAUAUGUCAUCUAUGUUGUAUUGUGAAUAAAAUAUUGAAAUUUGAAACUUCCACAUCAUUGCAUUCUGUUUUAUUCAUAAUUUGUACAGUGUCCCAACUUUUUUGUAAUCGGGUUUGUAUUAUAUGUGCUUUAUUCAGCACAUAUUCUAUAUAUAUUUACUUCAAACUGAAUUAGAAUUUUAAUCUAAACAUGUAUAUUCAUAAAAUUUGAUGAUUCAUGUUAUUAUCUGUUUCUAUGUGUAUUAUUUCCGCAUUAGGGAUAUUUUGUAGUCUCAGCCCCUCGUUUGGGUAUAAAUCUUUAGUGGAUUUGGUCAGAUUUUGUAUUGGCCUUUAAAAAAUAAAUAAAUAAAUGCUGUUUUUUGGACAUUCCAUUCAUUCCAGAGCAGGUGAAAUUGACAAGUGUGUCAAAAGUAACAAAGUCUCAUGCCCUAACAUUCACUAAUAUCUGAGGAAAGGAUAAUAAAUAUCCAAAACUUUUGAUUUGAAUGUUUUUUACAAGACUUGUCUGUAACUUGUCUGUUUGCUUUCACUCUCCCUCACAUGUUUGUUCCUGUACGUCUUAUCAUGUGGGUAACUUACUAAGUACAGUAUAUUUAGAGUACAAACAAAGACAUAUAUAGAACAGUCUGGACUCCUAAACAGGGUUCAUUCUGAGAAUGAUUUCCAAUUAUUUGUCUAGCCUUGAAUCGGUUUACUUUCUUUGCGUCACGCAGCGGGAACGUGUCGCGUUUCUAGCCAAUCACACACAGGGUACAGGUAAUGAGGACAACAGCCAAGUGACCAGCUGUGAGGGGCAGCUUGAGCACAGAGACCCAGAAUGUCCCCAGCAAGAUCACCGUAAACCACAUGCUGGAAAAACAGUAUGGUGUAUUCAUGUUGCAAGAGAUAAAACUAAAACUAGAGAUACAAAAGCUUGAAUUAGAAAUAACCAAGUUAAAGUUGGAGCUGCAAAAACUUGGACAAGAACCUUAAAUUGUAUUCAGCAUUGCUGCUCUGAACCCAGGACUUUAUUUUAUGUCAUGAUUUCAGAUGUUUUUAAUUUUGCUAAUCAAAUAAUUGAUUAACUAGAAUGAUCUAGCAUUUAUUAGUACCAUGUUCAAUAUUUU
rnacentral:lncRNA from 1 species